rnacentral:rRNA from 1 species
AGCCAUGCGAGUUGAUGAAUGCGAUAUCAUUUCAUGGCAAACUGCUUAGUAACACAUGAUCAACCUACCCUAUGGAGGGAACUAACCUCGGGAAACUGAGGAUAAUGUCCCAUAGCAGAUUCGGCUUGGAAAAGUGUAUCUGUGAAUGGGGUAGAGAAUUGUCUCUACGUGCCAUAGGAUGGGAUUGUGGUCGAUUAGGUAGUUGGUGAGGUAAUGGCUCACCAAGCCGAUAAUCGAUAGAGGCCGUGAGAGCGGGAGCCUCAAGAUGGGUACUGAGACAGCGACCCAGGCCCUACGGGGCGCAGCAGGCGCGAAACCUCCACAAUGCACGCAAGUGCGAUGGGGCUACCCAAAGUGCUCCACACGGAGCUGUGGUGGAUGAGUAAUGUUCUCCGCUAGAAAGGAGAGGGCAAGGCUGGUGCCAGCCGCCGCGGUAAAACCAGCUCUUCAAGUGGUCGGGAUAAUUAUUGGGCUUAAAGUGUCCGUAGCUGGUAGAGUAAGUUCCUGGUAAAAGUGGGCAGCUUAACUGUCCUUAUGCUAGGGAUACUGCUCUCCUAGAGGGCGGGAGAAGUCUGAGGUACUACAGGGGUAGGGGUGAAAUCUUAUAAUCCUUGUAGGACCACCAGUGGCGAAAGCGUCAGACCAGAACGCGCCUGACAGUGAGGGACGAAAGCCAGGGGAGCGAACCGGAUUAGAUACCCGGGUAGUCCUGGCCGUAAACGAUGCGCACUAGGUGACGGUGCGGCUAUGAGCCGCAUCGGUGUCGUAGGGAAACCGUUAAGUGUGCCGCCUGGGAAGUACGGUCGCAAGGCUAAACUAAAGAAUGGCGGG